rnacentral:rRNA from 1 species
ACCGGCGCACGGGUGAGUAACACGUAUGCAACCUUCCUUUAACUGGGGGAUAGCCCGGAGAAAUUCGGAUUAAUACCCCAUAAUAUCACAGAAAGGCAUCUUUUUGUGAUUAAAGCUCCGGCGGUUAAAGAUGGGCAUGCGUACCAUUAGCUAGUUGGUGAGGUAAAGGCUCACCAAGGCAACGAUGGUUAGGGGGUCUGAGAGGAUGAUCCCCCACACUGGUACUGAGACACGGACCAGACUCCUACGGGAGGCAGCAGUGAGGAAUAUUGGGCAAUGGGCGCAAGCCUGACCCAGCCAUGCCGCGUGAAGGAUGAAUGCCCUAUGGGUUGUAAACUUCUUUUGUACGGGACGAAACUCCUGGUCGUGACCGGGAUUGACUGUACCGUGCGAAUAAGCAUCGGCUAACUCCGUGCCAGCAGCCGCGGUAAUACGGAGGAUGCAAGCGUUAUCCGGAUUCAUUGGGUUUAAAGGGUGCGUAGGCGGAAUAAUAAGUCAGUGGUGAAAGCCUGCGGCUUAACCGUAGAAUUGCCAUUGAUACUGUUAUUCUUGAGUAUAGUUGAGGUGGGCGGAAUGUGUAAUGUAGCGGUGAAAUGCUUAGAUAUUACACAGAACACCAAUUGCGAAGGCAGCUCACUAAGCUGUUACUGACGCUGAGGCACGAAAGCGUGGGGAGCAAACAGGAUUAGAUACCCUGGUA